CGCAAGUAUGUUUGCAUAGGAUUGGUGAAAGCCACUUCAUAAACUUACCUUAGAAAAUACCGAGAUAACAAAACAAUGGAACAAUUUGAAGAUCACCUAUCUCUUCAAAAAAGGUGUAUCAUUCAGCAUGGGCCAUCAAGAACACAAACUGCAAACCAACUAGUCAGCAUACAAAUCUAUGAAUUGUGACUAACUUUGGAUGAAGCUGCUCCUGUGCAAAAAUAUACUUCAUUGCUCGGUAGAAAAACACACAUUAGAAAUAAUGGAAAUACCUGAUUUACUGUAUCGUAGAGGUUGUAGAGCCAUGAUCACUGGGAGAAAGUUACUGGAGUUGAAAACAAGAGAGCUUGAGUGAUGGGGAUUGAAGCAGUGACUAUGGAGGCCAAGAGGUUUAUGAACCUGUCUUGUUUUCUGUGAUUAUGAAAAAUGAAACAUUAAAAGUUAUGUUUAUCAUGAUUGUACAGAUAAGAGCCAACCCAAAAAAUGAGUGUGCACUAAAAAAAGAGAUUCUGACUACAGUCAUACCUUGGUUGCCAAACGCCUUGGUACUUGUACAUUUCGGCUCCCAAACAAUUGGAAACUGGAAGUGAGAGUUCCGGUUUUCAAACGGUUUCAGGAGUUGAACGGACACUCGGAACGCAUUCUGUUCGAAAAUCAAGGUACAACUGUAUUAUGAGUUGGUAACUGGGACAUAGUUGCAGCAGUGCAGUUUUAUCAUCAGUCUUCCUGCAGGAAAUUAACAAUUAUCAACA